rnacentral:lncRNA from 1 species
GCAGAGGUCUGAUUUUCUUCCUCUGGUAUCCAGGACAGAAACAGCAUCAUCCUGAGGAAGGGAGAACACUGACAAGCGUGUACUGUGCACUUAAGGAGAAGAGGGCCCCACACUGAACCAGUGGCUGUCUCGUUUCUCCCACUCCAAAGUGAGCUGACAGAAUAGCCUGCACAAGAACAUGCUGUCUCCUCCUGGAGCUAGGAAGUCAGAAGAUGGGAUGCUGAUGAUUGCAGCAGAGCUGCAGCAGAAAGGGGUGUAGAAUACCAACCUGCAGUUCUCCCAGGACCACACUCCCUCAAAGCAGCAUCACAGCCCGGUGGGAAGACCUGUUCUGAAUCCAGGUUCUAAUCUGGGUCUUGACUCUAUAGUCUAGCCACUCACUGCUGGCUCUCUUUGGAAACCUCACUUGCGCUCCUAAGGUUACAGUUACUAAAUGCCAUCUCUGACCUCCUGUAUGGCAGGUGCUAAUUUGGCACUUUCUGUGUCUUAGUUCACUUCAUUCUCAUGUCCCGCUUCACUCAUGAGACAUUGGGCUUAGAGCAAGCGAUGAGUAACUCACCUGGUCCCAAAGUAGCAAAUGGUGGACUGGGAUUUGAACUGAGACAGAGACAGAGACAUGCCAAGACCUACCUGGCCACCCCCAAACACCACGCCAUACAGACCACACCCAGGCAGGAAGUCGAGGCUAAGUGGUAGGGUGACGGCAGUGCUCAAGCCCCCUCAUUCUUCUGCCUUUAACUCGCUACCACCUACAUCCCCAGAGCUGUGGAGACACUUCAAAUUUCCGCUACAAAAUGAGCAUUGACUGGUGGGCCACUGAGUGGGGAAGGCAGAGAAUUUGCCACACCUUCAUGCACAUGGCCAACCCUGCUGACUUCUCACUCCAGAAGCCUCCAGGAAAGCUGAGACCAAACUCCUCCAGAGACAUACAUGGGGUCUGCCACCCUUCUCAAGCACCUACUCAGUCCCACCAUGACAUCUGGCUCCAAGACGACCACAGUCUGUCAACCCAUGUUCUAGACCAGCAAGUGAGUUCCACACCAACAG